UACGUAGGGUGCGGGCGUUGUCCGGAAUUAUUGGGCGUAAAGGGCUCGUAGGCGGUUUGUCGCGUCGGGAGUGAAAUCCACUGGCUUAACUGGUGGCUUGCUUUCGAUACGGGCAGACUGGAGGUAUGCAGGGGAGAACGGAAUUCCUGGUGUAGCGGUGAAAUGCGCAGAUAUCAGGAGGAACACCGGUGGCGAAGGCGGUUCUCUGGGCAUGUCCUGACGCUGAGGAGCGAAAGUGUGGGGAGCGAACAGG
rnacentral:rRNA from 1 species